rnacentral:rRNA from 1 species
UCAAGCGGGUGAAAGCGCACGGUGGAUGCCUUGGCAUCAAGGGCCGAAGAAGGGCGUAGUACGGCUACGAAAAGCUCCGAUCAGCUGCCAAACAAGCUUAGUCGGGGAUUCCCGAAUGGGGCAACCCGUCUCGAUAAAAUCGGGACACCGCCAGCCGAACACAUAGGCUGGAGGGAGGCAAAGUGGGGGAAGUGAAACAUCUCAGUACCCUGAGUAGAAGAAAUCUAUAGAGAUUCCCGUAGUAGCGGCGAGCGAACUGGGAAGAGCCUAAUCUCGAUAACCUUAGUGGCAUCAGAGCCUAUGUUUAUCGGGGGUUGUAAGGCAGGUUUGACUGAAUCUGGAAUAAGUCGAGGAGUUACCAACCGAAUCCUAGUAGAAGGUCCCUGGAAAGGGCCACCACAGACGGUGACAGUCCGGUAAACGAAAGGAGUAGGCUCCUGAUCUGUCCUUGAGUACCACGGGGCACGAAGAACCUUGUGGGAAUCCGCCCUGACCACAGGGCAAGGCUAAAUACCCUUGAUGACCGAUAGUGAACUAGUACCGUGAGGGAAAGGUGAAAAGUACCCCGAGAGGGGAGUGAAAAGACCUGAAACCGUGUGCUGACAAGCAGUCAGAGCCUUGAUGCAAAUCUUGGUAAUGGCGUGCCUAUUGAAGAAUGAGCCGGCGAGUUAAUCUGUGUGGCUGGUUAAGCGACUUUAGUCGUGGAGCCGUAGCGAAAGCGAGUCCGAAUAGGGCGUCGGGAGCAAUCCCAAGUCGUACGGAUUAGACCCGAAGCUGGGUGAGCUAUCCAUGGCCAGGAUGAAACCUCGAUAAAAUCGAGGUGGAGGUCCGAACUGGUGAUCGUUGCAAAGAUUUCAGAUGAGCUGUGGAUAGAGGUGAUAUGCCAAACGAACCCAGGGAUAGCUGGUACUCCCCGAAAUGUAUUUAGGUACAGCCUUGGAUGUUCGCUAGUGGAGGUAGGGCACUGGAUGGAUUCGGGAGAUAACAUCUUACCAACUCCAACCAAACCACGAAUGCCAUUAGCCAAAGUCCAGGAGUGAGACUGUGGGGGAUAAGCUUCAUAGUCGAGAGGGAAACAGCCCAGACCAUCAGCUAAGGUCCCUAAGCGCUGACUAAGUGGUAAAGGAAGUUGCGUUGCACAGACAGCCAGGAGGUUGGCUCAGAAGCAGCCAUCCUUUAAAGAGUGCGUAACAGCUCACUGGUUGAGUGAUGCUGCGCCGAUAAUCCAACGGGGCUUAAGUCAGUCACCGAAGCUAUGGCUCUCCGACGCAAGUCGGAGGGGGUAGGGGAGCGUUCUUUCAGCCAUGAAGUCGUUCUGUAAAGAAUGGUGGAGUUGAAAGAAGUGAGUAUGUCGGCAUGAGUAGCGCAAGGAGUGUGAAAAACACUUCCACCGAAAAUCUGAGGUUUCCUAUGCAAGGUUAAUCCGCAUAGGGUUAGUCGGGCCUAAGCCGAGGCCGAGAGGCGUAGGCGAUGGACAACGGGUUAUUAUUCCCGUACCGUUUCUAUAGAGACAAAGGGAGGACACGGGAGGGUAAGCUAAGCAUACCCAUCGGACAUGGUGUGUUCUCCAUCGAAGGCAACGCUGGGGCAGGGAAAUCCACUCCGGAUGUCAUAGCUGAUGAUGGGGAGAAGUUGAGGGGAAACCCGAGGCAACUUAGUUGACCCCAAACCGUCAAGAAAAGUCUCGUUGUCGAUGAAGUAGAAGCGCCCGUACCGCAAACCGACUCUGGUAGAUUGGGAUAAGAGUCCUAAGGUGUUCGAGUAAUCCCUCGUUAAGGAACUCGGCAAUCUAACCCCGUAACUUCGGGAUAAGGGGUGCCCCGGCUCUGCCGGGGUGACAUUAAAUUGGUCCAAGCAACUGUUUAACAAAAACACAGGUCUCUGCAAAAGCGUAAGCUGAAGUAUAGGGGCCGAUACCUGCCCAGUGCUGGAAGGUUAAGGGGAGAUGUCAUCAUAAGCAAUUGUGAGAAGCUUUGAACUGAAGCCCCAGUGAACGGCGGCCGCAACUAUAACGGUCCUCAGGUGGCGAAGUCUCUUGGCGGGUAAGCUCCGACCCGCACGAAUGGUGUAAUGACUUGGACGCUGUCUCAACGAGGGGCUCGGCGAAAUUGAAAUACCCGUGAAGAUGC